GUCUAUAUCUAUGUAUAAAACGGUUGUGUACAUCAGUGUAGAACUGUAGAUACAUACUACCUUCUUUAUGAUGAAAAUUUUCUGAAAAUGCAGUAAAAACAUAUUAUUAAUUUACUCAAUAAUAUGGUGGGUAUAUGAUCUAAAGGACAGGGGACUGACCACAUGCAGGCGUGUUGUUAUUGUGCUAAAAAAGCAUGUGAUAGUGAAUUUUAUGUUUGGGUGAUGCUGUGUACAGUGUCAAUGUCUUGUUUUAUGUAUUAGCAUGCAACAUGGUGUUCAUGUUAAAUUUUUAGAGGCAAAUAACUCUUUGACAAGUGCCUAGGUUUUUUCAUAGUGCUUCACAGUCUUAUUUGUAUAAGACAGUUAAACUAAUGUAUCUUUUCUUUCUUCUUUAAAUUUUUUUGUCAAGUAGAUAAUUGGUGAUUAGGAUGGUCCUUUACUGAGUUAUGAAGUUCGUAAUUGCAGUCUUUGUUUGCCAUGUAAUAAUAUUGUA
rnacentral:misc_RNA from 1 species